rnacentral:tRNA from 1 species
GCCAGCAUGGUAUAGUGGUUUGAGUAUUGGACUAGGACUCUGGAGACCAGGGUUCAAAUCCCAGCUCAGCCA